UACGUAGGGUGCGAGCGUUGUCCGGAAUUAUUGGGCGUAAAGAGCUUGUAGGCGGUCUGUCGCGUCUGCUGUGAAAAUCCGGGGCUCAACCCGGCACUUGCAGUGGGUACGGGCAGACUAGAGUGUGGUAGGGGAGACUGGAAUUCCUGGUGUAGCGGUGAAAUGCGCAGAUAUCAGGAGGAACACCGAUGGCGAAGGCAGGUCUC
rnacentral:rRNA from 1 species